CUUUCACCCCCAUCAGAAAUGGCUUCCGCCGCUGCUCUUCCUGUAGUUACCGUUAUCCCUCUUGAGAAUGAAAUGGAGGCCGACGCCAACUCCCUCCUUCUACCUGACGUCAUGAAAGCCCCAAUCCGGCCCGACAUCCUCCAAGACGUUUAUCGCGACAUCUCCAAGAACUCUCGCCAACCCUACGCCGUCUCUAGGUCCGCUGGCCACCAGACCUUCGCCGAGUCAUGGGGUACUGGUCAUGCUGUUUCCCGUAUCUCUGGUGUUCCUGGCGACGGCACUCACCGUGUCGGCAAGGGUGCCUAUGGCAACAUAUGCCGCAGCGGCCGCAUGUUUGCUCUGACCAAGAUUUGGCGCCGUUGGCACCGCAAGGUCCCAGUCAACAAGAAACGGUAUGCCGUGGUUUCUGCCAUCGCCCUCUCUGCAGUGCCUUCCCUUGUCAUGGCCCGUGACCACAGCAUUGAGUCUGUCCUGCAAAUCCCCUGUGUGAUCUCCGAUUCUGCUGAGGCCAUGGAGAAAACCUCCAACGCUAUCAGUCUUCUCAAGAAAAUUGGGGCUUACCCUGAUGCUGAGAAGGCUAAGGACAGCCAGGGUAUCUGCCCAGGAAAGGGUAAGAUGUGUAACUGCCGCUACAUCUGCAGGAAAGGUCCUCUGGUUGUGUAUGGUACUGAAGGGGCUAAGCUUUGUUAAACUGCCGAUAGCUUUGUUAACCUAGCUUUGUUGCAUUUUUUUCCAAUUCGGCAGGAACUUCUCACCCAUAGAGUACAAUGCUAUUAAAUGCUCUUGAGGAGAUGAAAAAGGUUGGCUUUUGGAUAUGCUCAUGAAGAUGACUUCAGUUUGACACAAAUUGCUGCUUUAGUCUAUGUUUUUGCUUGGAAAGAGUACUUUGUUUUCUUGGAUGCGUAAUGGCUGUUACUAGUUGAACUGAUGUGGACUUAGUACUCUAUUGUUUGGAUGGAUAAUGGCUGUUAGUACUUGAACUAAUGUGGGCUUUGGAACCCAUUUUGGUUAAUGUGUGUUUUGAUGAAUUUAGAGAUGUUUAUAACAAUAUAUAUAUGA